rnacentral:tRNA from 1 species
GGAGAGGGCAUAGCUCAGUGGUAGAGUAUGUGCUUAGCAUGCACAAGGUCCUGGGUUCAAUCCCCAGUACCUCCA